rnacentral:rRNA from 1 species
UGGGGAAUAUUGCGCAAUGGGGGGAACCCUGACGCAGCGACGCCGCGUGCGGGAUGACGGCCUUCGGGUUGUAAACCGCUUUUGAUUGGGAGCAAGCGCAAGUGAGUGUACCUUUCGAAUAAGGACCGGCUAACUACGUGCCAGCAGCCGCGGUAAUACGUAGGGUCCAAGCGUUGUCCGGAAUUAUUGGGCGUAAAGAGCUCGUAGGCGGCGCGUCGCGUCUGGUGUGAAAGUCCAUCGCUUAACGGUGGAUCUGCGCUGGAUACGGGCGUGCUGGAGUGCGGUAGGGGAGACUGGAAUUCCCGGUGUAACGGUGGAAUGUGUAGAUAUCGGGAAGAACACCAAUGGCGAAGGCAGGUCUCUGGGCCGUUACUGACGCUGAGGAGCGAAAGCGUGGGGAGCGAACAGGAUUAGAUACCCCGUGGUA